UAGAGUUUGAUCCUGGCUCAGGAUGAACGCUGGCGGCGUGCUUAACACAUGCAAGUCGAACGAACCUUCGGGUUAGUGGCGGACGGGUGAGUAACGCGUGAGAAUCUGCCCUCAGGAGGGGGAUAACGGCUGGAAACGGCCGCUAAUACCCCAUAUGCCGAGAGGUGAAAUGAAAUUCGCCUGAGGAUGAGCUCGCGUCUGAUUAGCUAGUUGGUGGGGUAAGAGCCUACCAAGGCAUCGAUCAGUAGCUGGUCUGAGAGGAUGAUCAGCCACACUGGGACUGAGACACGGCCCAGACUCCUACGGGAGGCAGCAGUGGGGAAUUUUCCGCAAUGGGCGAAAGCCUGACGGAGCAACGCCGCGUGAGGGACGAAGGCCUCUGGGCUGUAAACCUCUUUUCUCAAGGAAGAAGAUCUGACGGUACUUGAGGAAUAAGCCACGGCUAAUUCCGUGCCAGCAGCCGCGGUAAUACGGGAGUGGCAAGCGUUAUCCGGAAUUAUUGGGCGUAAAGCGUCCGCAGGCGGUCUUGUAAGUCUGUCGUUAAAGCGUGGAGCUUAACUCCAUUUAAGCGAUGGAAACUGCAAGACUAGAGUGUGGUAGGGGCAGAGGGAAUUCCCGGUGUAGCGGUGAAAUGCGUAGAUAUCGGGAAGAACACCAGUGGCGAAGGCGCUCUGCUGGGCCAUAACUGACGCUCAUGGACGAAAGCCAGGGGAGCGAAAGGGAUUAGAUACCCCUGUAGUCCUGGCCGUAAACGAUGAACACUAGGUGUCGGGGGAAUCGACCCCCUCGGUGUCGUAGCCAACGCGUUAAGUGUUCCGCCUGGGGAGUACGCACGCAAGUGUGAAACUCAAAGGAAUUGACGGGGGCCCGCACAAGCGGUGGAGUAUGUGGUUUAAUUCGAUGCAACGCGAAGAACCUUACCAGGGUUUGACAUCCUGCGAACCCCUUGGAAACGAGGGGGUGCCUUCGGGAGCGCAGUGACAGGUGGUGCAUGGCUGUCGUCAGCUCGUGUCGUGAGAUGUUGGGUUAAGUCCCGCAACGAGCGCAACCCACGUCUUUAGUUGCCAGCAUUGAGUUGGGCACUCUAGAGAGACCGCCGGUGAUAAACCGGAGGAAGGUGUGGAUGACGUCAAGUCAUCAUGCCCCUUACAUCCUGGGCUACACACGUACUACAAUGCUACGGACAAAGGGCAGCAAACUCGCGAGAGCUAGCAAAUCCCAUAAACCGUGGCUCAGUUCAGAUCGUAGGCUGCAACUCGCCUACGUGAAGGAGGAAUCGCUAGUAAUCGCAGGUCAGCAUACUGCGGUGAAUACGUUCCCGGGCCUUGUACACACCGCCCGUCACACCAUGGAAGUUGGCCACGCCCGAAGCCGUUACUCCAACCCUUGUGGAGGAGGACGUCGAAGGUGGGGCUGAUGACUGGGGUGAAGUCGUAACAAGGUAGCCGUACCGGAAGGUGCGGCUGGAUCACCUCCUAA
rnacentral:rRNA from 1 species